rnacentral:rRNA from 1 species
CAGCAGCCGCGGUAAUACAGAGGGUGCGAGCGUUAAUCGGAUUUACUGGGCGUAAAGCGUGCGUAGGCGGCUAAUUGAGUCGGAUGUGAAAUCCCCGAGCUUAACUUGGGAAUUGCAUUCGAUACUGGUUAGCUAGAGUGUGGGAGAGGAUGGUAGAAUUCCAGGUGUAGCGGUGAAAUGCGUAGAGAUCUGGAGGAAUACCGAUGGCGAAGGCAGCCAUCUGGCCUAACACUGACGCUGAGGUACGAAAGCAUGGGGAGCAAACAGGAUUAGAUACCCCUGUAGUCCCUGUCUCUUAUAC